rnacentral:rRNA from 1 species
UACGGAAGGGGCUAGCGUUGUCCGGAAUUACUGGGCGUAAAGAGCGCGUAGGCGGCUUACCAAGUUGGGGGUGAAAUCCCGGAGCUCAACUCCGGAACUGCCUUCAAAACUGGUAGGCUCGAGUCCGGAAGAGGGGCGUGGAAUUCCAAGUGUAGAGGUGAAAUUCGUAGAUAUUGGGAAGAACACCGGUGGCGAAGGCGGCGCCCUGGUCCGGUACUGACGCUGAGGCGAGAAAGCGUGGGGAGCAAACAGG